CCCCUCUCAGGAUCACACGUGAAGAGUUUCCAGUACUCUGUCAGUCUUGUCUAUGGGAGGAAGAGUCAAGCAGAAGCCCACCCAUUCCAUUCCUAGCUUGGGUAGUGGCUAGUGAGUGGAAGGCCAUCUGCUACAAGU